AUGCAUACAGGAUAUGAAGUACUGCUUGGGUGCCUCGUCGCGGCGGUGAUCAUCGGGUUUGUUGUCAUCUACUGCCACAUCAGGAGAAGAACACGCAAGAUCAAAUCGUCAAAAAGGGAUAUUGAGGUUGGUACAGCGUCUGUUGAGUAUGAGGAGGUUACCUGCAAGCAGAUGUCAGUCAAAGAGAUAUACGCUGCAACUGAAAACUUACACCUUUCAAAUAUCAUCGGGCAGGGAAUUGCAGGGAAAGUGUACAAAGGAAUGCUUGCAAAUGGCUGGCCUGUUGCCGUGAAGCACAUAAUUAAGAAUGAACAUGCAGAAACCUUCGUAAGGGAAGUUACAAGCCUCUCACAUGUCAAGCAUCCAAACCUUGUGUCAUUAAGAGGUUACUGUGAUGGGCAGGAAGAGUGUUUUCUUGUGUAUGAGCUAUGCGUCAAUGGUAACCUAUCAGAAUGGCUAUUUGGGAAGGAUAAGAGCCUGUCAUGGACUCAGAGGCUUCAGAUCGCACUUGGCAGUGCUUGCGGCCUUUGGUUCCUUCACAUAUUCCCUGAGGGCUGCAUUGUUCACCGAGACAUCAAGCCAACAAACAUACUUCUUGGGGUUGAUAUGGAGCCCAAACUCGCGGACUUUGGACUGUCGAGAGUCAUCGACAUAGGCGUAUCCCACGUGAGCUCUGAAGUUAGAGGAACUUUUGGCUACGUCGACCCAGAGUACCGCCACAACCACAGGGUGAAUGCUGCAGGGGAUGUAUACAGCUUUGGUAUGGUGCUCCUGCAGCUCCUGUCAGGAGAGCGAGCAAUCAAUAUCAUGAACACUGCCAAGCCAAUGUCACUGGACAAAAUGGCUUCUAUGCUCAUCAGAGAGGGAAAUGUGUUGGAAUUUGCCGAUCCUAGGCUCAAGGGCGAAUACUCGGUAGACGCAUUUGAUCUCUGCCUGAAGCUUGCUCUGUCAUGCACCGGCCACAAGCAGCAGCGACCAUCCAUGGAGCAAGUUGUGUCAAGGCUAGAGAAGGCUCUAGAGAUCUCCAUGAGAGACGAUGAUAAGCGCAACAACAUCAGUAUGGUCGAGUCCUUUGCAUAG
rnacentral:rRNA from 1 species